rnacentral:rRNA from 1 species
UACGGAGGAUGCAAGCGUUAUCCGGAAUGAUUGGCCGUAAAGCGUCCGCAGGUGGCGAUGUAAGUCUGCUGUUAAAGAGUCUAGCUCAACUAGAUAAGAGCAGUGGAAACUACAUAGCUAGAGUACGUUCGGGGCAGAGGGAAUUCCUGGUGUAGCGGUGAAAUGCGUAGAGAUCAGGAAGAACACCAGUGGCGAAGGCGCUCUGCUAGGCCGUAACUGACACUGAGGGACGAAAGCUAGGGGAGCGAAUGGG